rnacentral:misc_RNA from 1 species
GAGUGACAGUGGAAUUGUCUUCGAUAAAGUUUCCAUCUGAUAACACUUUUACGCCAAACCUUUUCUGCCGUAGUCAGGAAUUUCAAGACUUCGUCGUAUUCGGGAUAUUUUUAUUUGAAAUGAAAGUAAUUGCUUCCAGAUAUAACUAAACUGUGGUUUUUAUACACAUGAUUAGAAAAGACACGAGAUCCUCUAAUUAUUUGGAGCGGUGUAACGUACCGAAUCAUCGUAAGCCCACGGCCACGAGCAACUCCAAUAACGUCUCGUUUUCACGCGGACUUAUUUGCCUCGGCGAGUCCUCAAGGGCAGAAAGAUUACAACCCGCGACGCUCGAAUUCACAAACC